GCCUAGAGAUAGGCGGUUCCCCUUCGGGGGACAGAGAGACAGGUGGUGCAUGGUUGUCGUCAGCUCGUGUCGUGAGAUGUUGGGUUAAGUCCCGCAACGAGCGCAACCCUUAUGACUAGUUGCCAGCAUUUAGUUGGGCACUCUAGUAAGACUGCCGGUGACAAACCGGAGGAAGGUGGGGAUGACGUCAAAUCAUCAUGCCCCUUAUGACCUGGGCUACACACGUGCUACAAUGGAUGGUACAACGAGUUGCGAGACCGCGAGGUCAAGCUAAUCUCUUAAAGCCAUUCUCAGUUCGGACUGUAGGCUGCAACUCGCCUACACGAAGUCGGAAUCGCUAGUAAUCGCGGAUCAGCACGCCGCGGUGAAUACGUUCCCGGGCCUUGUACACACCGCCCGUCACACCAUGAGAGUUUGUAACACCCGAAGCCGGUGGCGUAACCCUUUUAGGGAGCGAGCCGUCUAAGGUGGGACAAAUGAUUAGGGUGAAGUCGUAACAAGGUAACCGU
rnacentral:rRNA from 1 species